GACGAACGCUGGCGGCGUGCUUAACACAUGCAAGUCGAACGGCAAGGCCCUGCUAUUGUGGGGUGAUCGAGUGGCGAACGGGUGCGUAAUACGUGAGUAACCUGCCCUUGACUUUGGGAUAGCUUCAGGAAACUGGGGCUAAUACAGUAUAGGAGCUGCUGCUGCAUGGUGGGGGUUGGAACGUUUCGGCGGUUGGGGAUGGAUGCGCGGCUUUUCAGCUAGUUGGUGGGGUAGUGGCUUACCAAGGCUUUGACGGGUAGCCGGCCUGGGAGGGUGACCGGCCACAAUAGGACUGAGAGACGGCCCAGACUCCUACGGGGGACAGCGGUGGCGAACAUUGCACAAUGGGCGGAAGCCUGAUGCAGCAACGCCGCGGUCGUGAAGACGGCCUGCGGGUUGUAAACCGCUUUCGCCUGUGGCGCAGCGGGAGUGACGGUAAUGAAUAAAGAAGCACCGGCUAACUACGUG
rnacentral:rRNA from 1 species